CCAAGCAUUUGUCGUCAGAGAUGAUGACUUCAUAUACGAGAUGAAGAGAAGAAGAGAUGAAAGGACAGCCAUCUUACCUUGCAUGGCAGCUGGAUUCACAAGAUCAGGAUGGUGGCAAACUUACCCUCUGGUUCUUCAUCACUUUCACUCAUGGAGCCGUAGUUGGCCACCAGGGAUCCCAGAGCUGAGCUCAUCUGUUUAGGCGCCACAACCAGGACACCAGUCCUGGACUCAGGAGCUGGGUCCUCUCCGUCUGAAUCUGGAAGCACGUGAGAAAUGCAUUGAAGUACAUAUCAGUUACUUAUUGAUGUUUUUCUUCUUAAAAUUAAGACAAUAUCAAACCAACAGUAGUUUGAUUUUGUCUAUGAGGUUAAUGAUGGCCAAAAAAAUUACAUAGGUGUGAUAAUAAAUGCAUGGUGACAUAUUUU